rnacentral:lncRNA from 1 species
UUUUUUUUUAUUCAAAAGUGCAGAAAAAAAACUGUUUUUCUACGCCGGAAGUAGCGUAGUGACGUCAAUGCGUAGUUUCCCCGUGUGUUAAGUUCAAACACAAAUACCUAACGAACUGACAAGAUGACCGAUUUUAGACUACGGUAGGAUAUUACACAUGAAUCCAUCGUCAAUGAUUGGUUUUGAAUCGACGCAGGGUUUGUCAUGAAACCAAUCUUUUAUAGGACACAGUGGUGGUCUGUUACACCCUAAGCCUGAAAUAGAAUCAUAUAAUACAAAGCAAUGCACUUAUAUUAAACAACGUUAAAUACAUAAGAUGGAC